rnacentral:lncRNA from 1 species
GGGGACUGCAAGGGAAUAAGUGAGGGGAUAUUGAGGGAUAGUGAUAAUGUGGGAGCAUUACUGAUAACUGGACCUAGGAAGUCUUAAGAAAAUUAAGUUACACAAAAUAUACAGAAUCUUUGGGAUUUUUUCCCACCUAUUUAAUUUUUUUCCUGUCUUAUUUCAGCACAGCUUCCAGUGGUUUUGAUUGCUUCAGUUCAUGCCUGCCUUGCCUAGGAUACACGUGUCAGAAGGCUUAGUGAUAGCUCCUGUGUACGUAAGAUCUGCUCUCCUGUUAGCCAGGGCUCUGCUGCUCUCAUUUGACCUCAUCCCUAGAAGGCUGAAACAUUAUUACGCACCAGCCUUCAGUUUUAUAAUUUCCUGAUUUAAUGACUCCUGACAUACCUGAGCCAAAUCAGAAAAUGUGUUUCCCGUGGAAGCUCUGCUCUGAAGGUCAGCAGAUCCCUUCGCUUUUGCACUGCUUUAUUGAUGUCACUUGAAGUGAGACACAAGUGAGUAUUUCUGCCUCCCUUUUAAAGCUCUGCCUAAAUGCUUUUCAUCAACAGCUCCCACUGGAAUCAGAUUUCUCCUUUGUUGUUCUGUUUCCUGCUUCUUCCUCUGGGGCCAAACAGUUC